rnacentral:tRNA from 1 species
UGCAUCGGCCGGGAAUCGAUCGAACCCGGGGCGCCCGCGUGGCAGGCGAGCAUUCUACCACUGAACCAAAAGC